rnacentral:tRNA from 1 species
CGGCCGCCAGUCCGGUUCCGCGCAGGACGCGGCGUUGCGCGCCGGCCCACGCCGCCGGGUGGUGCUGGCCACCGCGGUCGCC